rnacentral:rRNA from 1 species
AUGGCCGCGGCGACGGCCAUGGCUAUGGCCAUGCUGGCGGCGCUGGCGAUCCUCAUGCCGUCCGCGCGAGGGCUCAGCCGCGCUGAGUUCCCGCGGGGGUUCCUCUUCGGCGUCGCGACGUCUGCUUACCAGAUCGAGGGCGCGUACCUGGAGGACGGCAAGGGCCUCAGCAACUGGGAUGUCUUCACCCACACACGGCCUGGGGGAAUCAAGGAUGGACGGAACGGGGACGUAGCGGAUGAUCACUACCACCGGUACAUGGAAGAUGUGGAGAUCAUUCAUAGUUUGGGUGUCAAUUCCUACAGAUUCUCAAUUUCAUGGGCGAGAAUCCUACCAAGAGGCCUGCUUGGAGGCGUUAAUUCAGCUGGGAUAGCUUUCUACGACCGCCUGAUCGCUGCACUCGUGCAGAAGGGGAUAGAGCCAUUUGUGACACUGUAUCACUUUGAUCUGCCGCGCGAAAUGGAGACCCGAUACGGUGGUUGGUUGGGCGCCGGAAUCCGGAGGAGUUUGACUACUACGCGGACGUGUGUUUCAAGGCGUUUGGGGACCGGGUCAAGUUCUGGACGACGUUCAACGAGCCCAACCUGUUCGCCAAGCUCGCCUAAAUGGUGGGCAAGUACCCUCCGGCACGCUGCUCCGCGCCGUUCGGGACCUGCGAGAGCGGGAACUCUCAUCGGGAACCCUACGUCGUGGCUCAUAACAUGCUGUUGUCACAUGCAGCCGCCGUCCACAACUACAAGAAGAAUUAUCAGGCAACGCAAGGCGGAUCCAUCGGGAUCGUGA